rnacentral:rRNA from 1 species
CAGGCUUAACACAUGCAAGUCGAGGGGCAGCAUGGUCUUAGCUUGCUAAGGCCGAUGGCGACCGGCGCACGGGUGAGUAACACGUAUCCAACCUGCCGUCUACUCUUGGACAGCCUUCUGAAAGGAAGAUUAAUACAAGAUGGCAUCAUGAGUCCGCAUGUUCACAUGAUUAAAGGUAUUCCGGUAGACGAUGGGGAUGCGUUCCAUUAGAUAGUAGGCGGGGUAACGGCCCACCUAGUCUUCGAUGGAUAGGGGUUCUGAGAGGAAGGUCCCCCACAUUGGAACUGAGACACGGUCCAAACUCCUACGGGAGGCAGCAGUGAGGAAUAUUGGUCAAUGGGCGAGAGCCUGAACCAGCCAAGUAGCGUGAAGGAUGACUGCCCUAUGGGUUGUAAACUUCUUUUAUAAAGGAAUAAAGUCGGGUAUGGAUACCCGUUUGCAUGUACUUUAUGAAUAAGGAUCGGCUAACUCCGUGCCAGCAGCCGCGGUAAUACGGAGGAUCCGAGCGUUAUCCGGAUUUAUUGGGUUUAAAGGGAGCGUAGAUGGAUGUUUAAGUCAGUUGUGAAAGUUUGCGGCUCAACCGUAAAAUUGCAGUUGAUACUGGAUAUCUUGAGUGCAGUUGAGGCAGGCGGAAUUCGUGGUGUAGCGGUGAAAUGCUUAGGUAUCACGAAGAACUCCGAUUGCGAAGGCAGCCUGCUAAGCUGCAACUGACAUUGAGGCUCGAAAGUGUGGGUAUCAAACAGGAUUAGAUACCCUGGUAGUCCACACGGUAAACGAUGAAUACUCGCUGUUUGCGAUAUACUGCAAGCGGCCAAGCGAAAACGUUAAGUAUUCCACCUGGGGAGUACGCCGGCAACGGUGAAACUCAAAGGAAUUGACGGGGGCCCGCACAAGCGGAGGAACAUGUGGUUUAAUUCGAUGAUACGCGAGGAACCUUACCCGGGCUUAAAUUGCAGAUGAAUUACGGUGAAAGCCGUAAGCCGCAAGGCAUCUGUGAAGGUGCUGCAUGGUUGUCGUCAGCUCGUGCCGUGAGGUGUCGGCUUAAGUGCCAUAACGAGCGCAACCCUUGUUGUCAGUUACUAACAGGUUCCGCUGAGGACUCUGACAAGACUGCCAUCGUAAGAUGUGAGGAAGGUGGGGAUGACGUCAAAUCAGCACGGCCCUUACGUCCGGGGCUACACACGUGUUACAAUGGGGGGUACAGAGGGCCGCUACCACGCGAGUGGAUGCCAAUCCCCAAAACCUCUCUCAGUUCGGACUGGAGUCUGCAACCCGACUCCACGAAGCUGGAUUCGCUAGUAAUCGCGCAUCAGCCACGGCGCGGUGAAUACGUUCCCGGGCCUUGUACACACCGCCCGUCAAGCCAUGGGAGCCGGGGGUACCUGAAGUGCGUAACCGCGAGGAGCGCCCUAGGGUAAAACUGGUGACUGGGGCUAAGUCGU